UGGUGGAGUGAUUUGUCUGGUUAAUUCCGUUAACGAACGAGACCUUAGCCUGCUAACUAGUUAGUCCAAUCACGAUUGGGCAUACUUCUUAGAGGGACUUUGUGAGCCAAACACAAGGAAGUUUGAGGCAAUAACA
rnacentral:rRNA from 1 species